ensembl:lncRNA
GUUCCAGUUCCAGGCAGAAGCCAGAGGAAUGUGGCACCUGCUAUGCUGAGACCUUUUCAUGUGAAGUUUGUUGAUGCUUGUGUAGAACUCUUUUCUCUGUGAUAUGAAUCAAACAGUAGGAUCUCAGAUAUUGCUCAAGAGUUCAUCUGAAAAAGAGUCUAAGAGAGACAUGAUAUGAGAUGGAAAAAAAUGUUGACAGACCUUAAACAUGAAGUAAGCAGCACUGGUGCUUUUGAACUGUGGUGUUGGAGAAGACUCCCAUGGAUUGCAAGGAGAUCAACCAGUCAAUCCUAAAGGAAAUCAGUCCUGAAUAUUCAUAGGAAGGACUGAUGCUGAAGCUCCAAUAUUUUGGCCAACUGAUGAGAAGAACUGACUCACUGGAAAAGACCCUGAUGCUGGCAAAGAUUGAAGGCUGGAGAAGAAGGGGAUGAAAGAGGAUGAGAUGAUUGGAUGGCAUUACCAACUUGAUGGACAUGAGUUUGAACAAGCUCCAGGAGGUGGUAUGGACACGGAAGCCUGGCGUGCUGCCAUCCAUGGAGUCACAAAGAGUCAGACAUGACUGAGAGACUGAACUGAACUAAAGCAGCAGUAACACAUUUUCACAUAAGUAAAAAGGCAGGAAAUAUACAGCCCACAGCUUCAUUAAUCUGUCUCUCACAUGCAUACUCAUGCAUAUACACAGCUCCGACACAUCACAUCCCCUUAUCAGAGGGAAUGUAAAGACAGACUCAAAAUCUUUUGACAAUAUUGAUGUGUUUAUAUGCUAAUUCUAUAAAUGAAUGCAUGGAGAAGUGCCCCAAAUCAGAUACUUUAAAGCAUUCCCUGCUUAUCCUUACAAUGAAAUCAAUUAAUAAAUGUAAAAUUCAGUAAUAUGCGAUGUGAAAAGCAAAAUGGUUUGUUAAAUUUAAAAAAAAAAAUCCAGUAAAGAGAUAUUUUAUCUCUUCUAAGUGCCUAUAGAGUUGAAUGAAGUACAGUCAUUUCCGUGGAGCUUCAAAGAGGAAAGUUU